rnacentral:rRNA from 1 species
UACCAGCACCCCGAGUGGUCGGGACGUUUAUUGGGCCUAAAGCAUCCGUAGCCGGUUCUACAAGUCUUCCGUUAAAUCCAGCUGCUUAACAGAUGGGCUGCGGAAGAUACUAUGGAGCUAGGAGGCGGGAGAGGCAAGCGGUACUCGAUGGGUAGGGGUAAAAUCCGUUGAUCCAUUGAAGACCACCAGUGGCGAAGGCGGCUUGCCAGAACGCGCUCGACGGUGAGGGAUGAAAGCUGGGGGAGCAAAACGG